AGUCGGUCCGAGUGGCCAGGUCAAAAACCCAAGCCCUCAAGCUUUCCCAACCUCUAAACCAGCUUUCUCCGUCUUGCUUUUAUUUGCAGUGCUGGAGGUUUUCACAGUCACGUAGGGAGAUCCUGGGUGAAGGGGUAGCUGGGGUGAAUUGCAAAUUACAGGAGAUGUGACAGCGGUUCCCUGCUCCUCAUCUUCCAGUCUCUGCAAGUCCCAGGGAAGACUGCGGUGAUACUUCCGGUUUACUGUCCUGGCAUGGAGGUCCUCCCAGGAGCUCUCACUUGGCUCUUUCUAGGAGGGGAGCCACCAUGGAGCUUUCUGGUUUGCAGAUGCUUCCUUCACUCACUGCCUUAAAGAAGGAAGAGUCUUUUAGGACCAGAGUACAUAGUUUGAAGGUAUGGAGGUCCAUAUGUGAUAAAUCCUUUCUGUCUAAGCUUUGGCUAUAUUCAUCGACAUCAUACCAGUGAAAUCCUGUCAUUCUUAUCAAAUAGAGGCCAAUAUCGAGUCCACAUUUGUCAGCCAACCAUGUAAACUGUAGAGCCACUUCCAAUUGCACAAGGGUGCUGGUUAUCCACUGACUGCCUCUCAGUCCCUGCUCUGCAGUAAUGGCCUGGACUCUUCCGCAUUUCUUUUCUUAGUGUGCAUGCUAUUCAGCUGUCAAUAGAGGGUGCUGGAGGGACACUGCGGGAAUGGGGCUUCUCUUCCUAACUCCACGGUGCUGCUCAGCUGACUUGCUCCAGCUUCAUAGCCCCUCAGAGUUAGCAUGGGUGGGAGAUCCAGGGGUGCUCUUCUGUAGUCAUGUGCCCCAGGGAAGUGCAGUCUGCUCCUUUACUCCAUUGCUCUUGACUGCCCCAGUUCGAUGACCACUUCACUGCAGUCCUUUGAUGACACUGGCAUGUUCCAGGUGAGCAGCAGCAUCCUGAUGCACUCUGAGCACCUGCACAUCAGCCUUGGACUGCCUGUGGCUGAGGAUUGUUUCCUGUGGUCCUCUUGAUUGCACAGUGCACACACCAGGCCACACUCCAGCCUGAGGAGGGGUCCUGAUACCUUAUGCACUUUUACCCACCAGCUUUGGAUGAUGUGCUGUGGAUGUGGACUAGCUCUGGCCUGGACAACCCGCGAACCACUCCAUUCUCCACCCCUUCUUGGACAUGUCUGACCCUGAACCUUGGAACAGAAGGGGGCUCCCUUUCCAAAGCCGUCCUUCCUUGAGAGCUCCCCCUCCAUCUGUGGCACCCUUUAGAGUUCUCUUUACUUCUUCAUAGUUGCUUCCCAUCAGCUUAACAAGUCUUUUAUGUUAUACCUCCCUCAUUGUGUGGUUUGUCUCCUGAAUGGACCUAGACUGAUAUGAUGAGAUUAAACAUUAAAUUCAGAAUUUCUGAUAAGUUCA